AUGGCUCUGGAGGUCAUUCUCCAGUUAGAUGUCGCCCAGGAUUCUCGCCCCCUGUCCACGGAAGAGAGGGCCCUCCGUGCUGGCCUUAAAAGACGGAUUCUAGGGUUGGCGGCCUUGGAACGCUCUAGAAAACGUCAGGCCUCCAGAAUCAACUAUCUUCGCGAUGGAGACGCCAACACAAAGUUCUUUCAUCUGCGGAUUAACUCGAGGAAACGCAAGAACCAUAUCCAAAGGCUCAAACAUAAUGAUGGUUGGCUGGCAACACAUGAAGAU
rnacentral:rRNA from 1 species